rnacentral:rRNA from 1 species
AUUGAACGCUGGCGGCAUGCCUUACACAUGCAAGUCGAACGGUAACGGGCCUUCGGGUGCCGACGAGUGGCGAACGGGUGAGUAAUGUAUCGGAACGUACCUUUCAGUGGGGGAUAACGUAGCGAAAGUUACGCUAGUACCGCAUAUUCUGUGAGCAGGAAAGCAGGGGAUCGCAAGACCUUGCGCUGAUUGAGCGGCCGAUAUCAGAUUAGCUAGUUGGUGAGGUAAAGGCUCACCAAGGCGACGAUCCGUAGCGGGUCUGAGAGGAUGAUCCGCCACACUGGAACUGAGACACGGUCCAGACUCCUACGGGAGGCAGCAGUGGGGAAUUUUGGACAAUGGGGGCAACCCUGAUCCAGCCAUGCCGCGUGAGUGAAGAAGGCCUUCGGGUUGUAAAGCUCUUUCGGCCGGGAAGAAAUCGUAUGGGUUAAUACCCUGUGCGGAUGACGGUACCGGCAUAAGAAGCACCGGCUAACUACGUGCCAGCCGCCGCGGUAACAC